rnacentral:rRNA from 1 species
UGGGGAAUAUUGGACAAUGGGCGCAAGCCUGAUCCAGCCAUGCCGCGUGAGUGAUGAAGGCCCUAGGGUUGUAAAGCUCUUUCACCGGUGAAGAUAAUGACGGUAACCGGAGAAGAAGCCCCGGCUCACUUCGUGCCAGCAGCCGCGGUAAUACGAAGGGGGCUCGCGUUGUUCGGAUUUACUGGGCGUAAAGCGCACGUAGGCGGACUAUUAAGUCAGGGGUGAAAUCCCGGGGCUCAACCCCGGAACUGCCUUUGAUACUGGUAGUCUUGAAUUCGAGAGAGGUACGUGGAAUUCCGAGUGUAGAGAUGAAAUUCGUAGAUAUUCGUAGGAACACCAGUGGCGAAGGCGGCUCACUGGCUCGAUACUGACGCUGAGGUGCGAAAGCGUGGGGAGCAAACAGG